GAUGAACGCUGGCGGCGUGCCUAAUACAUGCAAGUCGAGCGAACAGACGAGGAGCUUACUCCUCUGACGUUAGCGGCGGACGGGUGAGUAACACGUGGAUAACCUACCUAUAAGACUGGGAUAACUUCGGGAAACCGGAGCUAAUACCGGAUAACAUGUUGAACCGCAUGGUUCAACAGUGAAAGACGGUCUUGCUGUCACUUAUAGAUGGAUCCGCGUCGCAUUAGCUAGUUGGUAAGGUAACGGCUUACCAAGGCAACGAUGCGUAGCCGACCUGAGAGGGUGAUCGGCCACACUGGAACUGAGACACGGUCCAGACUCCUACGGGAGGCAGCAGUAGGGAAUCUUCCGCAAUGGGCGAAAGCCUGACGGAGCAACGCCGCGUGAGUGAAGAAGGUCUUCGGAUCGUAAAACUCUGUUAUUAGGGAAGAACAAAUGUGUAAGUAACUAUGCACGUCUUGACGGUACCUAAUCAGAAAGCCACGGCUAACUACGUGCCAGCAGCCGCGGUAAUACGUAGGUGGCAAGCGUUAUCCGGAAUUAUUGGGCGUAAAGCGCGCGUAGGCUGUUUUUUAAGUCUGAUGUGAAAGCCCACGGCUCAACCGUGGAGGGUCAUUGGAAACUGGAAAACUUGAGUGCAGAAGAGGAAAAUGGAAUUCCAUGUU
rnacentral:rRNA from 1 species